GGAUCGUCGAAUAAAUCUUUUCAGAGUUGAUCACAUGGAAGCUAUAAGAACUAUAGAUAAUGCAGAUAGCAGUACACUACAUGCUCUGAGCUUCCUUCAAAUUCCUGAGAUACUUAUAGUAGAAUCAGGUGGACAGUUAAAAAUAUGGAACUUCAGACAACAAGGAAAUGAACCUUCUCAGAUAUUAUCAUUGACUGGUGACUGAAUGCCACUUCACUGUGUUGACAAACAUCUCAACCAUCAGCAGUGUUGUAGCUAUUGGUGUCCAGGAUGGAAUGCUGAGUAUUUGGGAUAUUAGACAAGAUACUAUGUGUGUACCUCUGCUGAAAGUUCAUGAUACUGAAAUGUGGGAAGUUCAUUUUCAUCCAUCCAACCCAGAUCAUCUAUUUACUUGUUCUGAAGAUGGAUCCUUAUGGCACUGGGAUGCCUCCGCAGAUGUGUCUGAAAAUCCUCAUUCUUUCUUCAAGGAGGAAGAACAAGUACUUUCCUGUCUCAUAGCAUUAAUAACCGAGGCAAUGUUCAC
rnacentral:lncRNA from 1 species